rnacentral:misc_RNA from 1 species
GUUUGAUUAUGGAACCAUGGCCUCUUCCAGCUACCUUCUCUGUAUUUUCUGACCAAAACCGCGUGUGAUAAUUUCUUUCUGAGCGUUGUCUGCCAUUGACUUUAUCCAGCUUUCCACAAUCUUUACCCAACUGUGCACAGCUGAGCUGAUAUCGAAACUUCGUAGUUACUCCUCAUUUACUAUUCUCUGUUUCAAUCCUCAUCCACUGUGGAGAACUUGUACUAUAAAUAAAACCCACCACGGCUAGCCAUGCCAACGUCCCACUUCAAAACAAUUUGUGUUUCAAUCCAAAACAUAUAUUUUCUCACACCCAUUUCUCAUUACGAUGGCUUCUUCAAGAGUUUCAAUACUCUUAUUGAUCUCUCUUACAAUUAGCUCUCUGACGGUUGCAUUUGCUGGGAACUUCUACCAAGACUUUGACAUCACCUGGGGAGAUGGCAGGGCUAAGAUACUCAACAAUGGGAAGCUUCUUACCCUUAACCUUGACAAAGCCUCUGGGUCUGGAUUUCAAUCCAAGAACGAGUAUCUGUUUGGGAAGAUUGAUAUGCAGCUCAAGCUUGUGCCUGGCAACUCUGCUGGAACUGUCACUGCCUAUUAUUUAUCUUCAAAAGGGUCGACUUGGGAUGAGAUAGAUUAUGAGUUCUUGGGGAAUUUGAGCGGUGAUCCUUACAUUCUCCACACAAACGUGUUUAGCCAAGGCAAAGGCAACAGAGAGCAGCAAUUCUAUUUGUGGUUUGACCCAACUGCAGAUUUCCACACCUAUUCUAUUCUAUGGAAUCCCCAGAGGAUCAUGUAAGCUGUAGCAUUCAAGAAGAAUCCAGUUAAUUUCUUGCCUAGAAUUCAAGAUCAAUCCACUAAUAUUUUGAUUCUUUUCUGUUCCAGCUUCACUGUUGAUGGCACCCCAAUUAGAGAGUUCAAGAACUUGGAGUCCAUUGGUGUUCCAUUCCCAAAGAAUCAACCGAUGAGGAUUUACUCUAGUCUGUGGAAUGCAGAUGACUGGGCUACAAGGGGUGGUCUAGUGAAGACAGAUUGGAGUCAUGCUCCAUUCACUGCUUCCUAUAGGAACUUCAAUGCGAAUGCUUGUGUUUGGUCUAAUGGUGCAUCUUCUUGUGGCAAAAAUUCUUCAGCUUCUAACAACAGCAAACCUUGGCUUUCGGAGGAACUUGAUACAACAAGUCAAGAGAGGCUGAAAUGGGUGCAGAAGAAUUACAUGAUAUAUAAUUACUGCACUGAUACUAAGAGGUUUCCACAGGGACUUCCUCCCGAAUGCAGCAUGUCCUAGACUAAGGAAGAGGAGACAACUACGUACAUAUAAACUACGAAAGUGUUCAAUUCUUUUAAUUUUUUUUAUUAUUUGUAAUGUGAUUUGUGUGGAAAAAAAUUACAAAUCAGGGAGUAUAUGCUACCCAAGAAUAGUAUUAUUAUAUGUGUAUUUUUUAUGUAAUUUCUUUUUGUUAAUAAAUUAAAUGAUUUGAUUUUCAAAA